GAUCAUGGCUCAGAUUGAACGCUGGCGGAAUGCUUUACACAUGCAAGUCGAACGGUAGAGGGGGCAACCCCUUGAGAGUGGCGAACGGGUGAGUAAUAUAUCGGAACGUGCCCAGUCGUGGGGGAUAACGUAGCGAAAGUUACGCUAAUACCGCAUACGAUCUAAGGAUGAAAGCGGGGGAUCGCAAGACCUCGCGCGAUUGGAGCGGCCGAUAUCAGAUUAGGUAGUUGGUGAGGUAAAGGCUCACCAAGCCAACGAUCUGUAGCUGGUCUGAGAGGACGACCAGCCACACUGGAACUGAGACACGGUCCAGACUCCUACGGGAGGCAGCAGUGGGGAAUUUUGGACAAUGGACGCAAGUCUGAUCCAGCCAUUCCGCGUGCAGGAUGAAGGCCCUCGGGUUGUAAACUGCUUUUGUACGGAACGAAAAGGUUUCUAUUAAUACUAGGAGCUCAUGACGGUACCGUAAGAAUAAGCACCGGCUAACUACGUG
rnacentral:rRNA from 1 species